GAUACCCCCCUAUGCUCAGCCCUAAAAUAUAAAAUUACACUUAUAUAACGCCCAGGGAAAUAUAAGCGCAAGCUUUAAACUCAAAGGACUUGACGGUGUCCCACCUACCUAGAGGAGCCUGUUCCAUAAUCGAUAACCCACGUUAUACCUUACCACUUUUAGCCUAUCAGCCUGUAUACUUCCGUCGUAAGCUUACCGUAUGAAUGCUUAGUAGGCCAAAUAGUCAUUCCACUAAUACGUCAGGUCAAGGUGCAGCCAAUAAAGCGGAGAGAAAUGGGCUACAAUUUCUAAUAUAGAACACACGAAAAACCACAUGAAAAUCGGUCACGAAGGCGGAUUUAGCAGUAAAAUAAUAUAGUAUGUUUAUUUUAACUACGCCCUGGGACWUGUAC
rnacentral:rRNA from 1 species